UCGGCCUUCUAAGCCGAGGGUCGGGGGUUCGAACCCCUCCGGGCAGGCCA
rnacentral:tRNA from 1 species